rnacentral:rRNA from 1 species
UACAGAGGUCCCAAGCGUUGUUCGGAUUCAUUGGGCGUAAAGGGUGCGUAGGCGGCGGGGUAAGUCAGGUGUGAAAUCCCGGAGCUCAACUCCGGAACUGCACUUGAUACUGCCUUGCUCGAGUACUGGAGAGGAGACUGGAAUUUACGGUGUAGCAGUGAAAUGCGUAGAUAUCGUAAGGAAGACCAGUGGCGAAGGCGAGUCUCUGGACAGUUACUGACGCUGAGGCACGAAGGCCAGGGGAGCAAACGGG